UAAUACCCCCCCCCGUUUCUAAAUAGAGAAAACAAAACCAACAGUUGAAAAUUAAUUCUCUUCAUCGAUUUGAUUUUCCUUUUGUCCCAAACUUUUCAUCUUCUUCUCAUUCGUUUUCAACAUCGUUAAUUUUUUUUCCUUCAUCUUCUUCUCCUUCAUCUUAACAGUUUCAAUCUUUCUCUGUAAACCAGCAAAAACACAGACCCAUGGCAACAUCGCACCAGACCCAUCAUUAUCACCCUUUCUCUUUGUAAACGGGUUGGGUUUUGCACUCUCUUCUUCAAUAAAUCAGGUGUUGUUCUGUCGUAUAGAUUCAUCUCGCUCAUCUAUAACUCAAGAACACAGAGGGUCUUAUAUUCACGAGAACCAUUUGGGUUAUGUUUUCAUAUUGCUCCAUGGAUCACAUGUCGGCCAAGGUUUUACAUGGUAUGAACUUGUGUAUCACUUCAAGUAAAAAUUAACUUCUUCAAUCAGGUGUUAGCUCUGCAGUUUUUUUGUGUAAUUUAUUUUUCAUGCCUUGAGAGAUCCUUUCCCACCUAAUCGCCAUGGAAAAAUCACUCACAUCCGCAAAGGGAGGAGAUUUGUGAAGCCAUCAAAUUUUACGAAGGAGAUGGAUGCUGAUAGGUGGGCGCUGAGUAUGAGCUGACGCUAUAACUGGUCCAGUUUUGUUAGAUUUGGUGGCUGGUUCAGCUAUCCACUUUAUGCAGUUCUGGAGAAAUUUUCUGUGUGUUUUUGUCAUCUGCUUUUUUUUAAUAUAGUUUUUUCCAGCUGCAGAAUUUGAUUAUUGUGGAGAUGUAAGGGAUGGUUAUUUUCACAUAUGUGGAGAUUAUACUGUGCAACUGCUCUUAUAGAAUCCAAGCCAGUCCUCUGCUCCUUCUUCAUCUUUUAUUCCUUUUAUCUGUUUUUUUUUUUAAUGAGGAUGUGCA